GGCCGUCCCGAGCCAGGAGACUGGAGGCCUAGGCCCGGCACUGUGGGCAUCGUGGGCACCGUGGCGCGGUGCGGGCCGGGGGCGGAGGUCUCCCGGGGUGGCGGCGCCUGGGGUGCGAGCAGGUGGCUCGGGCAGGCGGCGGCUCCGGUGGCGGGCGGCGCGGCGGCCCGCGGUGGGGCGUGGGGCACGCGAGCCCUAAGCCGGGAAGGAGGGCGGCCGAGGGGCGCCAACGGCCGGCUGAGCAGGGGGCCAGAGGCAGUAGCCUCCAGCCGGGGAGGCACUCCCGCUCGCCGCGCCGGGUCACGUGGCGCGGUCACGUGGCCUGGCCGGGCCGGCGAGCGGCGGCGGCGGCAGUGGCGGUGGAGGGAGGCGGAGACUCAGCCGAGACGCUGGGGGAGGCAGCGGCAGCGGCGGCGGCGUUUCUAUAAGGCUGCCGGAGGCGGAGAGGCGCGGAGGAGCCGCUGGGGCUGCGGCCGCCCGGAGAUUUGUAAGACUCCAGGGCCUUCCAGCCGUGAAUAAUCUGAUGGUUCCUGAAAUGACUGGGGAAACAGACGCUUCGUAUGGCAGUUGAAGAGUGUGUGUCUGUGUGCAUUUAAAACCUUCUUUCUGUACUUACACAUUCACACGGGAAGACAGGCUCAUUCUUGUGCACACUUGAGAGUUUUACAACUGAUGAAAAUUAAUUUAAGAAUCAGAUGGAGCAACUUGACACCACUGGGCUCAGGAGCCCGGGGAGAAAAAUACAUCACUAAUGGCCAAUUUUCCAUAUGGUCUGCAUGGGUAAAGAAAGUCUGCAAAAAGAAGAAAAAAAAAUUUGCACAGAUUAAGCCACAAAAAUACCUUCCAGUUUAAAGAAGGAACUAAGUGCGAAGGUGACUGAGAAAGAAAUGUGACUUCAAACAUUGCAGCGGCUCACACAGUGCUUGUUGCACUUUAUUUUUCAGUGGGUUUGGUGAUUUUGAUGGAUUAAAAUUCUGGACUGAAAAGUAACUCCUACUGUGGUUUUGGCUAGAGGAAAGCAAGUUCAAGUAUGAUGGGACAAGUUUGAAUAAUGAACUGAUUCCUUUGCCUAUUUUAAUUAACUGUAUUUGAGAAAUUUUAAUUUAUUAUUUCCCCGUUUCUUUUCCUGCAUCUAUAGGAUAAUAUUGUAAAAUAGCAGUUGAAACCAAUAAUUAUAAAACAAAUAUCAAGGAAAAUCCAAGCAAAGCCUUCUUUUUUUUGGACGAGCGGUGUGGUGUUUGGAGACAGUCUCUGAAUGUGAACAGGAAAGCACCCAUCAGCAAAACACGAUCACUCUCUAGGGAGACAGUUGAGGGAAUCUGACUCUGGCUUCUGCUUUUGUUUUAAGGGAUUAUCUUCCCUGUCAAGUCCAAGAAGAUUUGCGAAUGAGAAGAUUACCUGAUGGACUUAAUUCUAAGAUUAGCUUUUUUCAUCAAGAUGGAAAAAGAUCUUUAGGAGCAGAAAAGGGGAGUGCUAACUGGGGGAGCGAGAAGGGAGACGAGCAAAAGAAAUAAAAUCUUGUAGCGUGGCUCUGUUUUGUCAGCAAGAGGAUUUAAGACUCACCCAAGGCAAACACUGGGACCACUGUAAGAGCGCUGGAACAUUCUGCCUCUUGAGUGAAGGGGCCUUCUUUCUAGCCUCUAUGGCACUGAGGGGUGUGCCGGCUGGUGGAGGAGUAGUCCGAUGGAGCCCUGCGUUCCCCGGGGACACAGGGCCAAGCUUUGAGGUGGAAAGUUUCUGGUUCUGAAACAACGGGGAGAGAGUCUGUUUUUCUUCCUAAAAUUUGGACUCUUGUCUGCACAAACUCUGGUCUGUUUUGCACGGUUUGUGUGCCUUUUUUUCCCUUUAUGCAAUCUUUUUCAGCUUUAGCAGCAGAAAUUUGUCUAGUUCAGAAAACAUGCUAGAGGGUGGCUUCCGAAGGAAGAUGAUCCUGUGUGUUCUGUCUCUGCAUCCGAACUUCUGAAGAGAAAAAUUCGAGCUAGAGGGAUUCUUAAAGCCUUAAGUUACUUGAAAUCUAUGUAUUUGCAACCCGUUGUCUCUGGAAUCAUUACACUAAACUGGAAUCUCAGGCUGAAUGAGAAUAACCAAGUGGAGUAAAAAGAAGAAAACCGUUUCUUGAUCACCACUUAAUUAACGAUGCUCUUUCUCCAAAGGAUCAGCACGUUCUUCCUCUGAGAACUUGAAAAUAAAAAUGGACCCCAUGUUUUUUUAAGCAUUACCUUUUCUUAGAAGACUGCCAUCAUCUUUUAUAGAGGAAUUUUUUCACUAUGCAUUCGGUGGAUCUUUAUAAAAUACUGACCUUCUAAUUAGAUUCAGGUCAGUCUUAAUUAAAGGGGGAAAAACUCAACGCAAACCAACCACAAAAACAAAUACACCAAUGAAAGAAAUUGGUUUAAAUUUCACAGCAUUAGCAUUACUUUUUAAGUAA
ensembl:lncRNA